GGUUCGAUCAUGGCUCAGAUUGAACGCUGUGGGAUGCUUUACACGCCAAGUCGAACAGCACGGACUUCGGUCUGGUGGCGAGUAGCGAACGGGUAGGUAAUGUAUCGGAACGUGCCUAGUAGCGGGGGAUAACUGCGAAAGCGUAGCUAAUACCGCAUACGCCCUUGGGGAAAAGCGGGGACCUUCAGGGCCUCGCACUAUUAGAGCAACCGAUAUCGGAUUAGCUGGUGGUGGGGUAACGGCUCGCAAGGCGACGAUCCGUAGCUGGUUUGAGAGGACGACCAGCCACACUGGGACUGAGACACGGCCCAGACUCCUACGGGAGGCAGCGGUGAAAUUUUGGACAAUGGGAAACCCUGAUCCAGCCCAUCCCGCGUGUGCGAUGAAGGCCUUCGGGUUGUAAAGCACUUUUGGCAAGAAAGAAGCAGCACGGGAUAUUACCCCGUGCAACUGACUGAUACCUGCAGAAUAAGCACCGGCUAACUACGUGCCAGCAGCCGCGGUAAUACGUAGGGUGCAAGCGUUAAUCGGAAUUACUGGGCGUAAAGCGUGCGCAGGCGGUUCGGAAAAGAAAGAUGUGAAAUCCCAGAGCUUAACUUUGGAACUGCAUUUUUAACUACCGAGCUAGAGUGUGUCAGAGGAGGUGGAAUUCCGCGUCUUAGCAGUGAAAUGCGUAGAUAUGGGAGAACACCGAUGGCGAAGGCAGCCUCCUGGGAUAACACUGACGCUCAUGCACGAAAGCGUGGGGAGCAAGCAGGAUUAGAUACCCUGGUAGUCCACGCCCUAAACGAUGUCCAACUAGCUGUUGGGGCCUUCGGGCCUUGGUAGCGCAGCUAACGCGUGAAGUUGACCGCCUGGGAGAGUACAGGUGCUCAAGAUUAAAACUCAAAGGAAUUGACGGGGACCCGCACGGCGGUGGAUGAUGUGGAUUAAUUCGAUGCAACGCGAAAACCUUACCUACCCUUGACAUCCCGAUCGCGGUUACCGGAAUGCGGUUCCUUCGGAUUAGGCUGGAUCGGUGACGGGUGCUGCAUGGCUGUCGUCAGCUCGUGUGUGAGGAUGUUUGAGUUGAUCCGCAACGAGCGCAGCCCUCGCCAUGGUUGCCAUCAUUCGGUUGGGCACUCUAAGGGGACUGCCGGUGAUAAAGCGAGAGGGAAGGUGGGGAUGACGUCAAGUCCUCAUGGCCCUUACGGGCUGGGCUACACGUUAACACAAUGGUGGUGACAGUGGGCAGCGAGACCGCGAGGUCGAGCUAAUCUCCAAAAACACAUCUCGAUUCGGAUUGCACUCUGCAACUCCGAAGGUGCAUGAAGUUGGAAUCGCUGGUAAUCUCGUGGAUCAGAAUGCCACGGUGAAUACGUUCCCGGGCCUUGUACACACCGCCCGUCACACCAUGGGGAUUGGUCUUACCCGAGGUGCUGUGCUAACCGCAAGGAGGGCGAGGCAACCGCAUUGGGGUCAGCGACUGG
rnacentral:rRNA from 1 species